AUGACGUUAUUAAUGCACGACGGACCCGACACGCGAGGAGCAUACAUUACUCUCCUCACUGGAGACAGGAAAGCUUAGUUGAUAUUGUUGAACUGUUUGGAGUAACUCCGUUAUUAAAAAGAAAGUCAAAAGCUUUAGCUCGACUUUAGUGGAGUCACCAUUUUAUUUGAUUGAGGUUUUUAGACAGUAGCUGUAAGUUGCAUCAGCCGCAGUGAAAGGGCCCCGUUGCGUGAUUGUUCAGAAAGUCAAUAUGGCGGGUGACGAGUCGGGUACGACGCUGCGUCAGCCUCACUUGGCCAAACAAGACCUCACUACUCUGGACGUGUCGAAGCUGACGACUCUGUCCCCCGAGAUCAUCAGCAGACAGGCCACCAUCAACAUCGGCACCAUCGGCCACGUGGCGCACGGGAAGUCCACGGUGGUGAAGGCCAUCUCGGGCGUUCACACCGUCCGCUUCAAAAACGAGCUGGAGAGAAACAUCACCAUCAAGCUCGGAUACGCUAACGCCAAGAUCUACAUGCUGGACGACCCCAGCUGCCCUCGACCCGAAUGCUACCGCUCGUGCGGGAGUAGCACCCCCGACGAGUUCCCCACAGAUAUCUCCGGCACCAAAGGCGACUUCAAACUUGUCAGACACGUGUCCUUCGUGGACUGUCCCGGUCACGACAUUUUGAUGGCCACCAUGUUGAACGGAGCCGCCGUCAUGGACGCCGCCCUCCUCCUCAUCGCGGGCAACGAGUCAUGUCCUCAGCCGCAAACGUCUGAGCAUCUGGCCGCCAUCGAGAUCAUGAAGCUCAAGCACAUCCUCAUCCUGCAGAACAAGAUCGACCUGGUGAAGGAGAGCCAGGCCAAAGAACAGUAUGAGCAGAUCCUCACCUUCGUGCAGGGCACGGUGGCCGAGGGCGCGCCCAUCAUUCCCAUCUCGGCGCAACUCAAGUACAACAUCGAGGUGGUGUGCGAGUACAUCGUCAAGAAGAUCCCCGUCCCUGUGCGAGACUUCGCCUCAGAGCCCAGGCUCAUUGUCAUCAGGUCGUUUGACGUCAACAAGCCCGGCUGUGAAGUAGACGACCUGAAGGGCGGCGUGGCGGGAGGGAGUAUCCUCAAGGGCGUCCUCAAGGUGGGCCAGGAGAUCGAGGUGCGGCCGGGCAUCGUGUCCAAGGACCACGAGGGGAAGCUCAUGUGCAAACCCAUCUUCUCCAAGAUCGUCUCCCUGUUUGCCGAACACAACGACCUUCAGUACGCCGCGCCCGGAGGCCUGAUCGGCGUGGGCACCAAGAUCGACCCGACGCUGUGCCGAGCAGACCGCAUGGUGGGUCAGGUGCUGGGCGCCGUCGGGGAGCUGCCCGAGAUCUUCACCGAGCUGGAGAUCUCCUACUUCCUGCUGCGCAGGCUCCUGGGCGUGCGCACGGAGGGAGACAAGAAGGCCGCCAAGGUCCAGAAGCUGUCCAAGAACGAAGUGCUGAUGGUGAACAUCGGCUCGCUGUCGACGGGCGGCCGCGUCAGCGCCGUCAAAGCCGAUCUGGCCAAGAUCGUGCUCACCAACCCCGUCUGCACCGAAGUCGGCGAGAAGAUCGCGCUCAGUCGCCGAGUGGAGAAACAUUGGCGUCUGAUUGGCUGGGGGCAGAUCAGGAGGGGCGUGACCAUCACGCCCACGGUGGACGACGACUGAGAGGAGAAAGCGGUGGGCCGUUGCCGUAGCAACGCUCUCAUCAGGCAUUGCCCACGACAGGCGCGCUGGUUCUUUCCCGUAGACGGACAGCAACGCCACCGCCGCCGCAUUUUGGACUUUGUUCAACAUCCUCGGCUGGCUGCGCUUCAAUGCAGCAAAAGGCUGAAAGUUGCAGCUGGCUUCUCGUGUGGACUGAAUGGGUGCCGUCAACGGGGACAUGAAAUGCCAAUCUUUUAAGGGGAAUGGCCCGUCAGCAACAUACUGAGAAAAAAAACUAAAGGAACCAUGAACUAGUUCAUUUUUUGGAAAGGUGAACUGAACUUUGAACUAUGUGUAGACCCAAAAAAUAAAAAAUAAAAAAAAACUUCCUAACACUGGCUAGUUGUGUAAUUUAAGACAGUUCUGCUUUGCAAUAGACAGAUUGCAAUUUAUUUUUUUAAGUGUGAAAUGAUCCAAACUUUGGACAUUCUCAAGUAUAAUGUUUUGUGUGUUUUAUCAAUAAGUAUAUUUUGUGUAUU